CACUUGGGGCAAGUCAAUCCCAUAGACCCCAUGUUAAAAAAAUCCCCCAAAAUACGAUGUCUAUUUAAUCUACAUCUCCGUAACAACUGUACAGAGAGCUGUGGUUUCCUUAUUAAAUCAUGUGUUUAGCAUUGUUCUUAUUACGCAUUCCGUGUUGAUUACUGAUCAAAAUCACUGCCGCCCAACGUGGGGCUCGAACCCACGACCCUGAGAUUAAGAGUCUCAUGCUCUACCGACUGAGCUAGCCGGGCUAACUUUGCACAGAU